AGUGAACGCUGGCGGUAGGCCUAACACAUGCAAGUCGAACGGAAGCACAGUAAGAGCUUGCUCUUACGGGUGGCGAGUGGCGGACGGGUGAGGAAUACAUCGGAAUCUACUUUUUCGUGGGGGAUAACGUAGGGAAACUUACGCUAAUACCGCAUACGACCUACGGGUGAAAGCAGGGGAUCUUCGGACCUUGCGCGGAUGAAUGAGCCGAUGUCGGAUUAGCUAGUUGGCGGGGUAAAGGCCAACCAAGGCGACGAUCCGUAGCUGGUCUGAGAGGAUGAUCAGCCACACUGGAAGUGAGACACGGUCCAGACUCCUACGGGAGGCAGCAGUGGGGAAUAUUGGACAAUGGGCGCAAGCCUGAUCCAGCCAUACCGCGUGGGUGAAGAAGGCCUUCGGGUUGUAAAGCCCUUUUGUUGGGAAAGAAAAGCAGCAGGUUAAUACCCCGCUGUUCUGACGGUACCCAAAGAAUAAGCACCGGCUAACUUCGUG
rnacentral:rRNA from 1 species